AACACCUUUUAACAAUGGUCCAGAGAGUCCAUAAGGGUGAUGCUGUAUAGGGACGAGUCUGUUCCUCUAUGGCUGAAUACACCCUGAGCAGAAGGCACAGGGUGUUUUUUUAU
rfam:Bacillus marisflavi strain JCM 11544 scaffold1, whole genome shotgun sequence.